rnacentral:rRNA from 1 species
CGGAGGAAAAGAAACCAACAGGGAUUGCCUCAGUAACGGCGAGUGAAGCGGCAAAAGCUCAAAUUUUAAAGCUGGCACCUCCGGUGUCCGCGUUGUAAUUUUGUGAGGCAUCUCCGGGUGGGGCGCCGGCCUAAGUUCCUUGGAACAGGACGUCAUAGAGGGUGAGAAUCCCGUGCUUGGCUGGCUGUCCCCGUCCAUGUGAGGUGUCUUCGACGAGUCGAGUUGUUUGGGAAUGCAGCUCAAAAUGGGUGGUAAAUUUCAUCUAAAGCUAAAUAUUGGUGGGAGACCGAUAGCGCACAAGUAGAGUGAUCGAAAGAUGAAAAGCACUUUGAAAAUAGAGUUAAAAAGUACGUGAAAUUGUUGAAAGGGAAGCGCUUGAGACCAGACUUCGGUGGGGAGUGAUCAGCCGUCCUUCUGGGCGGUGCACUUGCCCCCCUCCGGGCCAGCAUCGGUUGGGACGGCGGGAUAAAGGUCCCGGGAAUGUGGCUCCUCUCGGGGAGUGUUAUAGCCCGGGUGAAUGCCGCCAGCCCCGACCGAGGACCGCGCCUUCGGGCUAGGAUGCUUGGCAUAAUGGUCUUCAGCGACCCGUCU